rnacentral:rRNA from 1 species
CAGCAGCCGCGGUAAUACGUAGGGCGCAAGCGUUGUCCGGAAUUAUUGGGCGUAAAGAGCUCGUAGGCGGUUUGUCACGUCGGAUGUGAAAGCCCGGGGCUUAACCCCGGGUCUGCAUUCGAUACGGGCAGACUAGAGUGUGGUAGGGGAGAUCGGAAUUCCUGGUGUAGCGGUGAAAUGCGCAGAUAUCAGGAGGAACACCGGUGGCGAAGGCGGAUCUCUGGGCCAUUACUGACGCUGAGGAGCGAAAGCGUGGGGAGCGAACAGGAUUAGAUACCCUGGUAGUCCACGCCGUAAACGUUGGGAACUAGGUGUUGGCGACAUUCCACGUCGUCGGUGCCGCAGCUAACGCAUUAAGUUCCCCGCCUGGGGAGUACGGCCGCAAGGCUAAAACUCAAAUGAAUUGACGG